rnacentral:tRNA from 1 species
GGAUCGGUAGCUCAGGUGGUUAGAGCGCACGCCUGAUAAGCGUGAGGUCGGAGGUUCAAGUCCUCCUCGACCCACCA